rnacentral:rRNA from 1 species
UACGUAUGGAGCAAGCGUUAUCCGGAUUUACUGGGUGUAAAGGGAGCGUAGGCGGCAUACCAAGCCUGAUGUGAAAACCCGGGGCCCAACCCCGGGAGUGUAUUGGAAACUGGCGGGCUGGAGUGCCGGAGAGGUAAGCGGAAUUCCUAGUGUAGCGGUGAAAUGCGUAGAUAUUAGGAGGAACACCAGUGGCGAAGGCGGCUUACUGGACGGCAACUGACGCUGAGGCUCGAAAGCGUGGGGAGCAAACAGG